GACGAACGCUGGCGGCGUGCCUAACACAUGCAAGUGGAGCGACGAACCAGGCUUCGGCCUGGGGCAAAGCCGCGAACGGGUGAGUAACACGUGGGUAACCUGCCCUGAUGAUUGGGACAACCCGAGGAAACUCGGGCUAAUACCAAAUGUGCCCUUCGGCCACAAGGCCGCUGGGGAAAGGAAGCUUCGGCCUCCGCAUCUGGAUGGGCCCGUGGCCCAUUAGCUUGUUGGUGAGGUAACGGCUCACCAAGGCGACGAUGGGUAGCUGGUCUGAGAGGACGAUCAGCCACACUGGGACUGAGACACGGCCCAGACUCCUACGGGAGGCAGCAGUGGGGAAUCUUGCGCAAUGCGCGAAAGCGUGACGCAGCAACGCCGCGUGGGGAAGACGG
rnacentral:rRNA from 1 species